rnacentral:snRNA from 1 species
ACACUCACUUCAGCAAUAUACAAACUAAAAUUGGAAUGCUACAGAGAUUAAGAUGGCCCCUAUGCAAGGACAGCACAAAAGUAUAAGUAUUCCACAUUUUU